UCUAAGUAAACCAACUUUUCAAUUCCUUCGCUUGGACAUUUUAGGUGUUAGGUUCAAGAGCCGAAGAUACAUUCACAGCCUUGGGUGAAGAAGUUAGAAGAACUUAGUUAACAGUAGCAAAUAAGUGAAAAAUUUGCAACCCUUUUAAAUAAAACAGGUAUUCAAGAAAGCACAGUUGAAUACCUGCUAAAAAGUGGGAAGAAAAUCAAAUUAAAAGCAAUGUAGGAAAACUGUUAAAGUGAAGUUCUGUAACAAUAAAUUAGCUGUUUACUAUCUGCUCCCAUGAGAUAAUUAAAUAGCAAUCCAGUUAUUUAAUGACACCUAUUCAGACGUGAACUGAGUAAGUCGACGCAACCACCUACUAUAAUAAUCUCUCAUUCAAACGAGACUAAAACUUAAAAAAAUACCUUGAUCAAUGUUAGUCAUUCCAACAUUUUGAGUGAAACUAGCCAAAGGAGUUACAUACACCACGGCAGUUUCUCCUAAAAAAUCGAAGAACCUCAGAAUCCAAGACCGAUUGCGAUCCAUUUCAAGCGCGUAUCUUUGCACAUCACAAAAAAACUAUGUAUUUUAUGCAGAUCGUGCUGUACAUAACUAAACCGAAUUGAUAUCUCAUAUCAUUUCGGUACACCUUCCUAUAACUUACUGAUAAGCUGUAUCUAAAGCCAUAUCUAGUGCAAUACUUGGCGGCUUCGAUAAUGAGCAGGUGUAUGAGAAAAAUGAAAAUUGCAGAAUGAAGAGUAGCUGUUCAAGGCGCUAAAGAGAAAUCGUGCAGCGGCGCUAAAAAUAAAGUACAGCUAGCUAGGCGUCUCCAAUCAAUAGCUCUGUUGUAGCUGAGUCAGACACAGCAACGACAUCCCUUCGAAUUUGCGCGAAGCUUCAACAUUCAGCGUCUUGUACGAAAAAUUAACUGGAAUAACUCCUGGUUAAGGAACAUUUUUUUGGGUCAAUAAAAAUAUGCAUUUCGGGGUGCUGCAAAAGUUC